rnacentral:rRNA from 1 species
GAUGAACGCUGGCGGCGUGCCUAAUACAUGCAAGUCGAGCGAACGGACGAGAAGCUUGCUUCUCUGAUGUUAGCGGCGGACGGGUGAGUAACACGUGGAUAACCUACCUAUAAGACUGGGAUAACUUCGGGAAACCGGAGCUAAUACCGGAUAAUAUUUUGAACCGCAUGGUUCAAAAGUGAAAGACGGUCUUGCUGUCACUUAUAGAUGGAUCCGCGCUGCAUUAGCUAGUUGGUAAGGUAACGGCUUACCAAGGCAACGAUGCAUAGCCGACCUGAGAGGGUGAUCGGCCACACUGGAACUGAGACACGGUCCAGACCCCUACGGGAGGCAGCAGUAGGGAAUCUUCCGCAAUGGGCGAAAGCCUGACGGAGCAACGCCGCGUGAGUGAUGAAGGUCUUCGGAUCGUAAAACUCUGUUAUUAGGGAAGAACAUAUGUGUAAGUAACUGUGCACAUCUUGACGGUACCUAAUCAGAAAGCCACGGCUAACUACGUGCCAGCAGCCGCGGUAAUACGUAGGUGGCAAGCGUUAUCCGGAAUUAUUGGGCGUAAAGCGCGCGUAGGCGGUUUUUUAAGUCUGAUGUGAAAGCCCACGGCUCAACCGUGGAGGGUCAUUGGAAACUGGAAAACUUGAGUGCAGAAGAGGAAAGUGGAAUUCCAUGUGUAGCGGUGAAAUGCGCAGAGAUAUGGAGGAACACCAGUGGCGAAGGCGACUUUCUGGUCUGUAACUGACGCUGAUGUGCGAAAGCGUGGGGAUCAAACAGGAUUAGAUACCCUGGUAGUCCACGCCGUAAACGAUGAGUGCUAAGUGUUAGGGGGUUUCCGCCCCUUAGUGCUGCAGCUAACGCAUUAAGCACUCCGCCUGGGGAGUACGACCGCAAGGUUGAAACUCAAAGGAAUUGACGGGGACCCGCACAAGCGGUGGAGCAUGUGGUUUAAUUCGAAGCAACGCGAAGAACCUUACCAAAUCUUGACAUCCUUUGACAACUCUAGAGAUAGAGCCUUCCCCUUCGGGGGACAAAGUGACAGGUGGUGCAUGGUUGUCGUCAGCUCGUGUCGUGAGAUGUUGGGUUAAGUCCCGCAACGAGCGCAACCCUUAAGCUUAGUUGCCAUCAUUAAGUUGGGCACUCUAAGUUGACUGCCGGUGACAAACCGGAGGAAGGUGGGGAUGACGUCAAAUCAUCAUGCCCCUUAUGAUUUGGGCUACACACGUGCUACAAUGGGCAAUACAAAGGGCAGCGAAACCGCGAGGUCAAGCAAAUCCCAUAAAGUUGUUCUCAGUUCGGAUUGUAGUCUGCAACUCGACUACAUGAAGCUGGAAUCGCUAGUAAUCGUAGAUCAGCAUGCUACGGUGAAUACGUUCCCGGGUCU